rnacentral:rRNA from 1 species
GCGAGGAAACCCGCUGAACUUAAGCAUAUCACUAAGCGG